GACGAACGCUGGCGGCGUGCUUAACACAUGCAAGUCGAGCGGAAAGGCCACUUCGGUGGUACUCGAGCGGCGAACGGGUGAGUAACACGUGAGUAAUCUGCCCCUGGCUUUGGGAUAGCCACCGGACACGGUGAUUAAUACCGGAUACGACCACUUCUCGCAUGGGAUGGUGGUGGAAAGUUUUUUCGGCCAGGGAUGUGCUCGCGGCCUAUCAGCUUGAUGGUGAGGUAUGGCUCACCAUGGCUUCGACGGGUAGCCGGCCUGAGAGGGUGACCGGUCACACUGGGACUGAGACACGGCCCAGACUCCUACGGGAGGCAGCAGUGGGGAAUAUUGGACAAUGGGCGGAAGCCUGAUCCAGCAACGCCGCGUGAGGGAUGACGGCCUUCGGGUUGUAAACCUCUUUCAGCAGGGACGAAGCGCAAGUGACGGUACCUGCAGAAGAAGCACCGGCCAACUACGUGCCAGCAGCCGCCGUAA
rnacentral:rRNA from 1 species